ACCAGCUGAUACCACCUUCGGGUGCAGGAUUUUCUCGCUGCAUUGAAGACCCAUUGGUGGCCUUCGAAAGGUGUCUGCACUUUGGUCGGGUUGUUGCCUCUUUGACAUGUUUCCCAUUUUCAUCAUCUCAUUUUUUUAGAAUGUUGAGCUCUACCUUCUUUCCAUUCGCGUCAAAACGGUCAGAUGACUUCUUGUAGGAGUUAUCGACCUUAUAUGACGAAUUUUCUCACUUGCAUGUUCGCCUGUUAUAUUGAAAUAUAUAAUGAAUAGAUAGAAACUUUUAUUACCAAAAAUUACCAGCAAGACAAGAUCUA
rnacentral:lncRNA from 1 species